rnacentral:rRNA from 1 species
UGGGGGAUAUUGCACAAUGGGCGAAAGCCUGAUGCAGCGACGCCGCGUGGGGGAUGAAGGCCUUCGGGUUGUAAACUUCUUUUGCUCUGAACAAGGCGCACCAUGGGGUGUGUUGAGUGUAGCGGUUGAUUAGCGCCGGCUAACUACGUGCCAGCAGCCGCGGUAAUACGUAGGGCGCGAGCGUUGUCCGGAAUUAUUGGGCGGAACGGGCUCGUAGGUGGCUGGUUGCGUCUGUCGUGAAAGCUCAUGGCUUAACUGUGGGUUUGCGGUUGCUACGGGCUGGCUUGAUGGCUGUACGAGAGGCUAGCAGUCCUGGUGUAGCUGUUGAAUGCGCAGAUAUCAGGGGGAAUACCGGUGGCGAAGGCGGGUCUCUGGGCUGUUACUGACACUGAGGAGCGAAAGCAUGGGGAGCGAACAGGA